ACUCAAUGAAAAAUUCUCUUUGCGUAAGCCAAGUUGGAUAAGAUUUUUACAAAUAAAAACCCAAAGAAUCCUCAUGAUAUGAUCAGGCACUCCACUGGUUUUUUCCUAAGAAGAAGCCAUAUCAAAUAACCUGGCAUCAGGAAACAAAGUGGGAUCUUAGCUCCUAGACCCGGAUUGAACCCGCGUUCCCUGCAUUGGAAGAUGGAUUCUUAACCAUUGGUCUACUGAAGAAGUGCUCUCAUUAACUCUUGCCUGGACUAUUACAAUAUUCUACAUACUAACAUCUCUGCCCCCAGAGUCUUCCCAUUCCAGCUUCCACAGGCUUAGUACAGUGAUAAGCACUCACUGGGUGCUCAAAAAAUGCCUGCUGAAUUGAACUGAACAAGAACACAGCCUCUGCAUUUCACAGAAAUCAGCAACCCAGUAUCGAAAAUCUUUGAACUGGCUGAGACUCAGUUACCAUCUGGGUAAUUAAUAAAUAGC
ensembl:lncRNA